rnacentral:rRNA from 1 species
UACGGAGGGUGCAAACGUUGCUCGGAAUCAUUGGGCGUAAAGCGCACGUAGGCGGUCCAGUAAGUCGGGUGUGAAAGCCCUCGGCUCAACCGAGGAAGUGCAUUCGAAACUACUGAACUUGAGUAUGGAAGAGGGUCGCGGAAUUCCCGGUGUAGAGGUGAAAUGCGCAGAUAUCAGGAGGAACACCAAUGGCGAAGGCAGCUCGCUGGGACGGUACUGACGCUGAGACGCGAAAGCGUGGGGAGCAAACAGG